rnacentral:rRNA from 1 species
GGUUUCUUGUUUUUUUUUGAGAAAUUUGACCUGCCCACUGGUUGUUAAUUUGAAGGGCCGCAGUAUUUUGACUGUGCAAAGGUAGCAUAAUCAUUAGUCUUUUAAUUGGGGACUGGAAUGAAUGGUUGGACGAGGUAAUAACUGUUUCGUAUUGAAUAGGUUGAAUUUAGAUUUUAAGUUAAAAGACUUAAAUGAUGUUAAGGGACGAGAAGACCCUAUAGAGUUUAAUAUAUUUAAUUAUAAUUAUGUUGUGGCGGAAUUUUUAAUUUUUGUGAUUUAUAUUUAAUUGGGGUGAUUGAAAGAUAAUAAAAACUUUUUUUUGAAUUGAAUAUUAUUUUUAGUGUGAAGGAUCCGUAUUUUACGAUUGUAAGAUUAAAUUACCUUAGGGAUAACAGCAUGAUUUUUUUUGAGAGUUCUUAUUGAAAGGAAGGAUUGUGACCUCGAUGUUGGAUUAAGAUGAAUAGUAGGUGUAGGUGCUUAUUAUGUUAGGUCUGUUCGACCUUUAAAAUCUUACA